rnacentral:rRNA from 1 species
AGUGAACGCUGGCGGUAGGCCUAACACAUGCAAGUCGAACGGCAGCACAGUAAGAGCUUGCUCUUACGGGUGGCGAGUGGCGGACGGGUGAGGAAUACAUCGGAAUCUACUUUUUCGUGGGGGAUAACGUAGGGAAACUUACGCUAAUACCGCAUACGACCUACGGGUGAAAGCAGGGGAUCUUCGGACCUUGCGCGAUUGAAUGAGCCGAUGUCGGAUUAGCUAGUUGGCGGGGUAAAGGCCCACCAAGGCGACGAUCCGUAGCUGGUCUGAGAGGAUGAUCAGCCACACUGGAACUGAGACACGGUCCAGACGCCUACGGGAGGCAGCAGUGGGGAAUAUUGGACAAUGGGCGCAAGCCGGAUCCAGCCAUACCGCGUGGGUGAAGAAGGCCUUCGGGUUGUAAAGCCCUUUUGCUGGGAAAGAAAAGCAGCAGGUUAAUACCCCGCUGUUCUGACGGUACCCAAAGAAUAAGCACCGGCUAACUUCGUG